GUCCAGCAGCAUCUAAUUCCUCACAAGACAUUCUCUGGCAAUAGACCUUCUCUCUGUAUUCUGCUUUCCUCAUUGGAUGCUUACAGAAUUGGACAGUUACUGGCAAUCUAUGAACAUAGAGUAGCUGUGCAAGGCUUCAUUUGGGGAAUCAAUUCAUUUGACCAGUGGGGAGUUGAGUUAGGGAAGUCGCUGGCUACGCAAGUCAGAAAGCAACUUAAUGCAUCUCG
rnacentral:misc_RNA from 1 species